AAGGGGAAGAAUAUGGCUGCUGCUGUGGGGAUCUGCAGUGGGUUCACAGAGCCAUCUGCAAAUGUUUGAAAAACUCCCACUAAGGACCUCUAGAGAUAAAACUGAGUGAACUUGCAGAGGGCAAGAGGAAUGUGCUGAAUUCCAGAGUCAAGGCAGUGGAGCUCCAGUCAUUGGAGUUUGGGAUUUAAAGUCAACGUGAUACUCUUUCAGCCUCCUGGGUGCUGGUGACAUGUGCAUGUGCCAGGUUCAUCGCCUUGCUCAAGUCCAGGACGCUUGGCUGGCUCCCUGAGGGAGCUGAAUUCCAAGACAUCUUGAAAGCCCCUUGCAAGGUCCCAGGAGGUGCAUCCAGCUGGCGGCCCUUGAUGACCAGCUCUAGCUGGAUUUGGCCAUUGGGAACCCCCCAAAGGAAACCAGAG